AUGACCAGAAAGAAAAGAGCAGCUGAAGCAGGAGAUGCCUGUAGUACAUCACCAGAGACUCCCCCAAGCUACUUACAGCAAGUGAGUAAAUAUACAGUAAAUAAAUCAUUGAGAAAGGAUUUAUUAUUUAUUCCUAAUUACAAUAAGAUGUCUAUCAGUGCUUGCUUCCUAAUAAGUUUUUUGUUUGUCUGUCUGUUUGUUUGUUUGUGCAUUCAUAUCCUGUCAGUGCUUAACAUUUUCCUAUGGGUGGUUGGCAUUGACUUCUGCUGUGGAUGGGCAGGCACUAGGAAGACAACACUCUCACUGUCCAGAAGUCCUGAAUACCUCAAGCACUCUUCCGACAGAGUUAAACACCUUCCUACAAUCCACACCUGGAAACCACAAGUAUGCAGAAUAACAAAAGUUAGUAGCCCAAGGUAA
rnacentral:lncRNA from 1 species